AGGGUUGUAGUUCAGUGGUAGGGCAUCUGCUUUGCACGUAGACGUUUGCAGGUUCGGUCCCUGGCAUCUCCU